rnacentral:snRNA from 1 species
GGAGAUGCCCUAAUGGGCUUAU